GCAGGGCGAGUGUCUCAGUACCUGAGCGGAGCGGCUGUCUCUCACCUGUGUCCCAUAUCAGAGGCCAUGCUGACCUGCAAACACAAGAGCCCCGACGACGACUACUGUCAGAAGUUUGUUCCUUUUAUCGGGGUGGUGAAGGUUGGCAUCGUGGAGCAGAACCUCCGCU